UCAGGCCAAGCACCGGGGGUAGCCCGGGCUCCCCCAGUGCCUCAGGGAGCAUCCAUUCACACAGGCCUCACCGGCGUGAGAGGGCGUGAGAGGGCGCGGGCAGUGCGUGCACCUGUGAAGACAGCCUCCUCUGCCACGGAGAUGGUCUCGGUGCUGCUUGGAAAGGGACCCCCCAAGCAAAAGAACCCUGGUUGUCCCCAGAUGCCUAAAAUCCUUUUGGAAAGAAGCCUUUCACCUGUAAUCAGACCAGGAUGAAACCCCUCUGGGAAGGAAUACGUGCUGUUUUGGAAGAAGCCCGGAAUAGGUGACAGGACCUGGCUGCUUCUGGCUUGUCUUACUGUCCUGGCCAGGAAGCCUUUUAACUCUUCGGGUUCACAGCCUCACAGUGCAGUCCAGACAGGACUUUCUGCUAAGGCCUCUCACCCUGAGGAAAGGCCCCAGUCCUGUCGGAGAGCCCCCCUGGGAUGGCCUCAGGCCCCCCUCUUCUUCCUGGCUCUUCCUCUCAGACCAGGCCUGGGCUCUGCUCAGUAAGGCGUGAAGGAGGCCCCCCCAGGGAAGCCAGAGGAGCGGGGGCCUUUAAAUUAUGGAGCAGCUUUCCUAGCCCCUCUCGGAAAGGCCCAGCGCCCUAGCUAAAUAAUUCACCACCUCAGGAAGACCCAGUGGUUUCUGACACAGCUGAAGUAGAUACCAUCUGGGGAUGCCUGUGCCACCCCCUAGCCUUUAACAGCGGACACGUUCUUCAGAACACGUCAGAUCCACAUCACCCAGUGCAGGGCUGGGAUUCCGAAAACGUGAGGCAGGGAGGACAGAGGGAUGCCAAGGUCAGCCACAGCUGCUCCCCUUUUGCUCGAACAAGACUAGAAUGAAAUCCUGCAGCGGGGGCCUCGGGGCCUUUGGGGCCCUCCCUUUCUAAACACAGCUUCAAGCCAAGCUGUGAAGGUAUGGGGUGGGGGGCAGGGGACGUAGAUGGAAAAGACCAACAGCAAAGCCCUAGGGACAGUGCUCCAACCCUCCAGGAGGUGGAAAGGAUUCCAAGCCACCACUUCACAGAGGAAGAAACUGAGGCCCCAAAUCACAAAAUAGUUGGGCUCGCUGCGGGCGUCCUGAUUGGGUGCAGGGCAGUCCAGGGUCUCGGCUCCACAGUUUCCCCGACCUUCAUACCCGUGUACUCUGGCUUCCAGCUAAACCUCCCCUCAGGAAUCGGCCAGCACCGAGAGUUCCCAGGGAGCUUACAAGGGUGCAGGAGCACAGAUAACCCUUUCUGGACCGGACUCCUGGGUUCUCCUUCCCUCCUGCACAGCCUCAUAAGACCUACACCAAGGACGCUUCCUGGAGGAGCCCACCCUUCCCAACCACAGUCUUUUGCUGCUGGAGGGUCUGAAAAGGCCACAGGCCAGGAAGGGUCAGUCCAAGUAGAGCACCGCACCCAGAGGAAAUAAAGGUCCCAUUUGGGUGCUACCCUGAGUGCAGGGAGCCUCCAUCCAGAUCUUCAGAACUCAGAUGAGGAAGAAGCGAAUCAAUCAAAACGAGGGUGGGCUGGCAGGUGUGUGCAAGGAAGGCCCUUUCCCUCCAGGACUUCAGUUACUCCGGGAAGGAAGAAGAGCCAAAGCGAGCCCUAGGGCCUGGGCCCACUUCGCCUCCCUCUCCCAGCUUGAAAACAGCUACCCCUCAGUUGUGCCCUCCCGGCGGCCACCUACAUCCCCUGGAAGCAAAGGUCAGAGAGCAGUUCCUUUGGAUGACUUUUUAUUUUGCAUUUCAUAUAUUAUCCAGCUUCACAUUCUCACAGGAUCUGCAAUUACAACAGCCACCUCGUCUCCCAAGUCUGAAAACGUCAAGACAGCCACAGCUGCGGCCAAAGGCAAAGCACUGAUGUGCUCACGAAACAACAACAAAAAAAUUGCACAAUUUUUUUUUCCUUCAUUUUUCUGAAACGAACACCUGACACAAAGGCUCAUUGCUGGAGAAUGGAAAACCUUUUCUUCUUCAUGCCUCAAACUAAACAUUAAACUUAUCUGACAAGGCGAA